UCCUUCGUUUUCCUGUCCCAUAGCCGUCACCCCGCAGCCGCACCCCAAUCCCCGCAGCUGCCAUUCUCAUCGCCAGGUGCCAUCCACAGCCGCAGCCGCAGCAGCAACGGCCAGGCGCUUCCUCUGAUUUCUGUCAACUCUUUUUCCCUUCCACAGCCGCAGUUGCAGCCGCAGCCGCACCCACCGUCACUGACUCACCAUACGGAGCACCCUCCAUUCUCGCCACCGUCACUGCUCGUGAAUUCGUGAGCAGCGCCGUACGGAGCCACCUCGGUAGAGCCAGGGGCCUCUACCAUACCCCAAUUCACUGCAUUCUGAGUGUAGUUGGGCUGCAUGUUUUGCAUUUUGCAGUGAAGAUGAUGGCUUCUGAAAACUCAUUGAAUUGCUCUUGGUAGUCCCCUGUGAUCAUAUGAAGGAAAUGCUACAUAUUUGUAAUCUGAUGUGGUUUGGACAUUGUAAUCCGAGUUUGGACAUUUUGGUUUGGAAAUGUUGUUAUCUAAUCUGUUUUGGAUAUUUUGGUCACUGAUAUGUUGUAAUCUGAUGUGGUUUGGACAUUGUAAUCCGAGUUUGGACAUUUUAUUUCUCCAUUUGAUGGUUUUUGGCUUGUA